AAAACUCCUUCAUCGUAGCUUCGAUGUAGCUCGUACGCCGCUACCUCUUCUUUCACUCGUCUUCGAUUCCUUUGAGAUUAACUCCAAAUCCUUUUAGCUCUCUCCCUUUCCUCAAAUCGCCUGAUCAUCAACUACUCCUAUAUGGUAAGAGACCCGUAAUCACCUUUUAAAAGAAGCUCGCGAGUUCUUCUUUUCCUUGAUGAUUGACGAAUCUUUGUCUCUCCUGUUGUAGGUGAUGAAUGAUUUGCUUAACCCCUGAGUUUGCUUGAAAUGGUAAUAUAAGUCUCUGUAUCAUGUGGUCUCUUAGAAGCUUUCCUAAUUGCUCUUUACACCUGUCUCCCUUCAGCUCUUGAUAAAGUUACUGUCUUUAUGCUAGUUGUUUAAGACUGUGUCUUAUGAACAAUAUCUUGCUUCUGUUUCAGCCGAGAUACUCGUCUCCCUUCAGCCUCCUAGCUGUUUAAGACGUUCUCUCCGGGUAGUCGUCAAUGUUUCUUCAUUGAGCUUUGUCAUCCGUUCCUCAUACCUUUUCUUCAGCUUCUCCACCUUGAGCUAAAGAUCCCUAUGCCUCGCCUCUCCUUCCCACAGGUAACGUAUCCCUAAACUUUUAAGUUUAUUCAUUGUUGCUAAGAAGUAACCGGAGCACUAACUCAAUACUUCUUCUUUGGCGAGAUUGCUACAAUGACGUUACCUGUGGCGCCUAGCUCUUUUAGGCGACGUUCAAGAGAUCACAACAGUGAUCAAAUUUAGGCCCGGGUAAGGCUUUCGUUAAGAAAUCUGCUGGAUUCUUACUAGUAUGGAUCUUAGAUAGGUGAACCUUGCCUUCUGCUACAACGUCUCUGAUGAAAUGGUAUUUAGUGUCUAUGUGUUUAGUUCUUUCGUGAUGAACAUGAUUCUUUGCUAGGGCUAUAGCACUUUGUGAAUCACAGUGAAUCUUAACACUUUCUUGUUCAAAACCUAACUCUGCACAUAUUCUUCUCAACCAAAUGGCUUCUUUCGCGGCUGCGGUAAGAGCCAUGUACUCUGCUUCAGUUGUCGAAAGAGCUACCACGUCUUGUAAGCUCGAUUUCCAACUCACUGUGUUACCCCAAACUUGAAACACGAAUCCUGUAACUGAUCUCCUUCGGUCGAGGUCAGUUGCAUAAUCAGAGUCACAAAAUCCUUCAAUACUAAACUUUGAGUGCUUAGUAAACGUGAGACUUCUUCUUGUAGCACCUUUUAGAUAUCGUAGAACCCAUUUUACGGCUGACCAAUGUUCUCUUCCUGGUUCUGACAUGAAACGGCUUACGAGUCCUACCGCGAAGCCCAGAUCAGGUCUUGAACCAACCAUAGCGUACAUGAGACUACCAACCGCACUUGCAUACGGUAUGUUCUCCAUGUGCCUUCCUUCUUCUUCCUUUUGGUCUUUAGUAAGACUUUUCAGUUUGAACUGAGUUGAGGUUGGCGUAGUCACUUCCUUAGCUUCAGACAUUCCAAACGAUUUUAGAACUUUCUCCAAGUAGUUCUCUUGCGAUAAUACUAAAGUUCCCUUUGUUCUGUCUCUUAUGAUAUCCAUUCCCAAUAUCCUUGAAGCUUUUCCUAAGUCUUUCAUCUCAAACUCUUUAUUCAAACUCUCCUUGACACGUCUGAUUUCUUGUUUAUCUCCAGAAGCUAUGAGCAUGUCGUCGACGUAUAGAAGUAGGUACACGGCUUGUUCUGAGUUCACGUUUCUCAUGUAAACACAUGGGUCUUCUUUGCUUCUUAUAAACUGUUGGCUUUUCAUGAAACAAUCAAACUUGAGAUUCCACUGCCUUGGAGAUUGUUUCAAACCAUAUAAUGACUUCUUUAAUAAGCAUACUUUAUUUUCAUCUCCUUUCUUUAUGAAUCCUUCUGGUUGAUUCAUUAGAAUUCUUUCUUCCAAGUCUCCAUGAAGAAAAGCUGUUUUAACGUCCAUCUGCUCUAGAUCAUAAUCUUUAUUGACCACGAGAGAUAACAUCAAUCUGAUCGACACAUGCUUCACUACAGGUGAAAACACUUCAUUGUAGUCGAUCCCCUCUUUUUGAGAAAAUCCCUGCGCCACCAAUCUCCCUUUAUACCUCGGUUCUUCAACUCCGGGUAUUCCAGGCUUUAACUUGAAGAUCCACUUGCUGCCUAUGACUUUCGCAUUCUCAGGUCUUUCAAUGAGUGUCCAAGUACGAGCUCUUUGAAGAGAAUCCAUCUCCUCUCCUGCAGCAUUCUUCCAAAACUUGCUUUUCUUGCUCAUCACGGCUUCCUUAUAAGACUUUGGCUCAUCGAUUUCAAUCUCUUCAGAGACAGCUAAAGCAUAAGCUGCGAAGUCAGAAUCUUCAAACCUAGAAGGUGGCUUGAUCGUCCUUCUAACUCUAUCUCGUGCAAGCAUAUAACCCUCGAGCUCCGGUUCUGCUUCUGAGUCUUUAUCUUCUUCUACAGAACUGGUUUCUUCUGAGCUUUCUGAUUCUUCUGUUUCAGUAGCUCCACCUUGAACCAAUGGUUCUUCAGUUGUAGUCGUAGGUAGUGUAGGGCCAUCAAUUAGGUUUUCCUUAAACGUCACUUUCUUUUUCUUCUUUUCUAAAUCUACAUCUUCUCGCUGGGUCACCGUGUGUUUAAACAUCUCUUCUUCAUUAAACACUACGUUCCUACUAGUGACACAUAUUCUCUCUUCAGACAGCCACACUCGAUAGCCUUUUACCCCGAAAGGGUAACCUACGAAGACGCCUUUUACGGCCCUAGGACUUGUCUUUCCCUGAAUCUUAUGAACAUAGGCAGAGCAGCCGAAACUCCUUAAGUGAUUCAACUCAGGUUUUACACCUGACCAUACUUCUUCUGGUAAACGGUAAUCAAUGGCAGAACUUGGUGAUCGGUUAACAAUGUAGACCGCUGUUGAUGCAGCUUCAGCCCAGAAGUCUUCGCCUAAUCCAGAUUCUGCGAGCAUGCAUCUCACCUUCUCCAUGAUUGUCCUGUUCAUUCUUUCAGACACACCGUUUUGUUGUGGCGUGUAUGGACAAGUCUUGUGUCUUUUGAUACCAGAAUCUUUGCAUAGUUUGUCAAACUGUUUAUUGCAAAACUCUAACCCGUUGUCUGUUCUAAGACACUUGAUUUUCUUCCCUGUGCUGUUCUCCACGGCUUCCUUCCAUUCUUUGAAUUUGCUGAAAGCUUCAUCUUUAGAUUUUAGGAAAUAAAUCCAAACCUUUCGAGAAUAAUCAUCUAUGAAGCUUAUAAAGUACUUGCAUCCCCCUAGACUCUCAGGGCUUGAUGGCGCGCCCCAUAGAUCAGAAUGUAUGUACUCCAAAACGCCUUUUGAAGUAUGUUUAGCCGUUGGAAAACUUUGUUUGUGAGACUUUCCUAGAACACAGGUCUCACAAAACUCUAGUUUAUCCACUUCUUUAUUAGACAAGUAACCAUCUUUCACGAGCACAUUCAGAUUCUUUAAGCUCAUAUGUAGGGAUGUCAAUUGGGUUCUCCCGUCCCGUCCCGUCCCGUACCGCUGCGGGUUCGUCUUCGGGCGGGAUACGGCGGGCCUGUCCCGCGCGGGAUGCGGUCUUGAAAAUAGCUGCCCAAUCCCGUACCGCAAUUUUUACAGGCCUUCGCGGGCCGUCCCGCGGGAUAUCGAAUAUUGCUCUGUUUUUAUUUUUCCUGCACAACAAACAUAAACAAGAAUGAGUUUCUGCAUGAAGAAACAACAAACAAGAAUGACUUGAUCAUAGCAAAGUCUCUUUCAUUCACGAAGGUUGUGUUACACUAGUUUUAUAUAUUCACGAAGAGCUAUUGAGAAUAAUCUUUCAGCUGAUAUGAAUGAUUGCACCAUUCUGUUAGACGUGAAUCCAUAAAGAAAAAGAAAAAAAAAACUAAUCUUUUGCUUCACUUGUCCUAUUUGUAACGUUUUCUUUAUCGUUGUGUUGGUAUAUAUUUCAUUGCAACAUGUUAUAUGCGUAUAUUAUCUAAAUGUUAGAACAUGAACUCAAACAUCAAGCCAAAAUAAAAAAAAAACAUAACAUGAACCCGUAGGUCAACUUCAUACAGCUCUUGUUGCUGACUUGAUAAUAGCAAAAUCUCUUUCAUGUUAUCUUAACCAAAACACCAAUGUGAUAAAGCAAAACACAAGAAAUCCCAUAUUUUAAUAAAGCAAAACACCAAAUCAAUAUAAAGCAAAACACCAAAUCAAACUUGAUCAUCUUCAUCUUCCCCAUUGAAGAUAGACUCAAAUGAUGGUAAUUUCUCUUCUUCACCAUCACCAUCGAUUUCUUCAUCUGCAAAUAUCAGAAACUUCUUUUACUAAGGAUAAUGGAUAAUGAUAAUUUUAAAAAAAAUUAUAAUGUGAGUUAUUUACCAUGUGCGUAAGAUUCGUAUCCCUUGAUCCAAUUUCUAGUGCAUAUCAGAGCUUGUACAUUUUUUGGGAGUAGACGGCUUCUAUAUUUAUUCAGAACUCGCGAUCCAAUACUGAAGGAGGACUCCGAAGCCACUGUUGUGAUUGGAAUACUUAGCAGAUCACAUGCCAUUGCAGCCAAGUCACCAUACCGAUGCGCAUUAUCUUUCCACCAAUCGAGGAUGUCCAAGCUCUGAAAAUUAGUAAUGUCCAAAGGUGGUUCUUCAAGAUAAGCUUCUAGAGGUGUCUUUCCACUCACAAUGCCACUGGUUUUGCGAAAUGCAAAGAAAUUCUAAGAAAGUUUUUUCAAAAAAAAAUAUUAGAGAGGAAAAAAAAAACAGAAAAUAAAAAAAAUUGAAAAACACUCACAUUGUAGUUCACAAACAGUCCCAUUGACCCUGCCGCACAUGCUUUUUGCGAAGCAGUCUCACGUGGCUCAGUGGAAGGUGAGUUAUUCUUGGAUUUUUUGUCGUAUGACUCAAACAAAAUACUCAGCUUGUCACGCAGAUUCUUCACCUUUGCAUCACGGGUACUCAUGUCAAGUUUCCCUAAACAACAUUCAACAAUUGAAAGCUUAAACCGUGGAUCGAAGACUGCUGCCAUUGCAAAAACACCACUGACUUCAUCCCAAUAUUUGUCGAACUUCUCUUUCAUCGGUGGAACCAUGUAUCUAACAGUCUCAUCUUCGCUUUCCUCAUUUUUCCGAAGCCAAUCAUGGAUCAUCCAAACCUGAUAGAAAUACAAGUUUGCAGUCGGGUAAUUCGAACCAGACAUCAAGCUUGUGAUCACAGCAAAAGGACCCAAAAAAUUGCAAAUAUUAUCUGCUCUAGUCCAUUCCUCAGCUGUGGGCGCCGUUUUAUAACCCUUCUUAUCAAAUGCCUCCAACUUAACAAAUGCUUUACGAUACUUGAUGGCUCUUUCAAGCAUAUAGUAAGUGGAGUUCCAUCUUGUCGGUACGUCCAGUAUUAGCCAUCCACUUUCUACUACACCCGCAGCAUCCACGCAUUUUUGGAACAACUGUUCACGCGUUUCCGAUCCUAAUACAUACUUAACACUGUCUCUUACUUUCUGCAAAGAGUCUCCAAUAACCUUCAGCCCAUCUUGCACUAUGAGGUUAAGUAUGUGAGCUGCACAUCUCACAUGAAAAAACUCUCCUCCACACAACAAAUCAUCAUUCAAAUUCAGCUGCGAUUUCACAAUAUCCUGCAUCGAGUCAUUACUUGAAGCAUUAUCUAAUGUGACUGAGAACACCUUUUUUUCAAUUCCCCACUCUUUCAGUGAUUCAAGGAGCUGAAGCGCAACAUUCAUACCGGUAUGUGGUGGUGGUAGAGCACAGAACGUCAGGAUUUUGCUGUUCAACUUCCAAUUCCGAUCAAUGUAAUGUGCAGUCACACACAUGUAUCCUUCCCGUUUCAAUGAUGUCCAUAAGUCAGAUGUGAAUGACACUCGUCCAGGAAGACUCCCUAAUUCUCUCUUGAGUGUUUCUCUCUCACUUUCAUAUAAUCGAUACACAUCUGCUCUUGCUGUGUUUCGACAAAUGGUUUGGACAUCAGCAUUCAAAUACGUCCAUGUGUCUCUAACUUUUUGAUACUCCACGUACGAGUAAGGUAGAUCAUGCUGGACUUUUGUCUUAGCUACCAUCUGCCUAAACACAAUAUGAUCAUACUUGCGAGAUAUUACUUUCCCCUCGGUAUUGAGUUGUUGCUGCCCUCCCGUACUCCUUGGAUACAUUUUACAUCUCCGCCGAUGUCUUCUCAACCCACUUGUUCCAUGCGAGUGAGAAUACCAUGCAUACUCAUUCUUGCAAUGAUUGCACACAGCUUUCAAAUCUCCAUUGGGUUUUUCAACCACCGUGAAAUCCUUCCAGACGUCUGAUCUUUGCCUAUUCUCCAUAUCCUCCAAAGCGUUUUCAGCCUCGUCCAACUCAUCUUCUUCCAGUUCAUCAUCAAAAUCUGGUAUCUCCUCAAUCUUUUUCUUAUUCUUUUGCGAUUGAGUAAACACAGCAGGCUGCUGCGAGUGGCGAGACUCGACCCUUUUCUUUUGGGAGUGAGGCACUGGCUUUCUUCUCCCACCACGAAUCACAGAUUUUAUAGGAACAGACUUCUUCUUACUACACGCCUGUGCGGACGAGCCAAUACCUCCAUCUAAAGUGGAUUGGAGCAUGGGUUUCCUAGAGGCUGUUCCAUAACUGGUCUUUCUGCGAGGCUUGGUUGUUUCGGUUGGUGGAGUGAUUUCAACAUCAGAAUCGUCAGUAUCAUCAGUAAGACUGAUAAGCUUUCUUUUCCUUCCUUGCUUCUUUCUGUCAGCACUACUUACACCACCUUCUGCGAACUGAUCAUCGACCUCCUCCAAUGCAGCAAGCGUAGCCAUAACUUGAUGAGUUCCCAAGUCCACAGUAUUUGGUGGGGAGUACUUCGGAUCAAACGUGAACUGUUCUUCUGAGUCGCUUAUUGAUCCCAUUCUCUCUCAAGGUUUUCUGUCGUAGUUUGUUUUUUCGAAAAUUCUAUUUUGAAACCUAAGUUACGGCUGCCUAAGAUACGUGUGUAGGGUUUUUAAAAUAUUAACAAUUAUUUAAAUUAAGUUUUGUUUAAAUUAUAAGGUAACUAAACGUGAGAAUGGGUUUCUCUAUUAAACGUGAGAGUUUCACACAACACAAAAGUACAGCGAAAGAACUACAUUCAUUCAUCAUCCACAACAAUUAUAAGAUUACAAAAAGUCUCUCUAUCUUCUUCAGAUCAGAGUAUCUCAUCUCUCUCUUCUUUGCUGCUGCUUGCAG
rnacentral:lncRNA from 1 species